rnacentral:lncRNA from 1 species
AGUCACUAACCAGCACCUCAGAAAGAACUGAAAUCUGUAAAGGAGGUCAUGAAGAAAGGAUAUCUGGAGUCAACUUGGCUCACACAUCCUAGUCCAGAAGAGGCACUGAUUCAGCUGGAUGGGACACAGCACUCAUUGCUGGAGGCUCUGAAGUUUCCAAAGAGAUUAAGAUAACUUUGAUGACAUUUCUGGAGGAUGAAGAGCAGCAAUGAUAACUGAGACUAUACGUGUGAGUGCCAUUCAAAAGGGCUUAGGAAAUAUCAGUCACACCCUGAGGGUACAUCUAAUCUGGACUGCACUCCCUGCUCCUAGUCAAUACACAUUUCAUCAUGUCAUCCAAGCUGAUUGCCAAGAAUCCUUCCUACUGAAUCAUAUAUUUCUGAGCUGCCAUCACUCCAAACUGCAUGGCUGCCAUGUUCACAUCUACUGGUGUCAGCACUGCAAAAGGAGAUGAGAAAGAUCCUUAUCCCCAUUUGACAACCCUCUCCUGGACCAGAACAGAAGCACAUGGAUCCUAUCCCUCCUUCUUCCCUCCUUUAGCAAAGUCGGACAUAACUGGAGCAGAAGCUUCAACAGACAUAGCAGCAGACUCCUGUUCAAGUGCUCUGAAGAAAGGGUAAGGAAAGUGAGAGUUCAUGUGGUAAAAUAACAAAACAAAUAUCUGAAUGGCCACAGAGUGCAUGUUGUGAUUUGAGAGGUUUGUGGUUUUAAAUAAAGUAUAAAUGAGCAAUAAGAUUAGAAACUUCAUUUGUUAAAGUUUGCAUUUCCC